GAUGAACGCUGGCGGCGUGCCUAAUACAUGCAAGUCGAGCGAACAGACGAGGAGCUUGCUCCUCUGACGUUAGCGGCGGACGGGUGAGUAACACGUGGGUAACCUACCUAUAAGACUGGGAUAACUUCGGGAAACCGGAGCUAAUACCGGAUAAUAUUUCGAACCGCAUGGUUCGAUAGUGAAAGAUGGCUCUGCUAUCACUUAUAGAUGGACCUGCGCCGUAUUAGCUAGUUGGUAAGGUAACGGCUUACCAAGGCAACGAUACGUAGCCGACCUGAGAGGGUGAUCGGCCACACUGGAACUGAGACACGGUCCAGACUCCUACGGGAGGCAGCAGUAGGGAAUCUUCCGCAAUGGGCGAAAGCCUGACGGAGCAACGCCGCGUGAGUGAUGAAGGUCUUCGGAUCGUAAAACUCUGUUAUUAGGGAAGAACAAACGUGUAAGUAACUGUGCACGUCUUGACGGUACCUAAUCAGAAAGCCACGGCUAACUACGUG
rnacentral:rRNA from 1 species